rnacentral:rRNA from 1 species
CAGUAGCCGCGGGAAUACAGAGGGUUCGAGCGUUAAUCGGAUUUACUGGGCGUAAAGCGUGCGUAGGCGGCUUUUUAAGUCGGAUGUGAAAUCCCUGAGCUUAACUUAGUAAUUGCAUUCGAUACUGGGAAGCUAGAGUAUGGGAGAGGAUUGUAGAAUUCCAGGUGUAGCGGUGAAAUGCGUAGAGAUCUGGAGGAAUACCGAUGGCGAAGGCAGCCAUCUGGCCUAAUACUGACGCUGAGGUACGAAAGCAUGGGGAGCAAACAGGAUUAGAUACCCCCGUAGUCCCUGUCUCUUAUAC